GAGUUUGAUCCUGGCUCAGGAUGAACGCUGGCGGCGUGCUUAACACAUGCAAGUCGAGCGAAGCAUAAAAACAGAUUUCUUCGGAAUGAAAUUUUUAUGACUGAGCGGCGGACGGGUGAGUAACGCGUGGGUGACCUGCCUCAUACAGGGGGAUAACAGACAGAAAUGUCUGCUAAUACCGCAUAAGCGCACAGUGCUGCAUGGCACAGUGUGAAAAACUCCGGUGGUAUGAGAUGGACCCGCGUCUGAUUAGCUAGUUGGUAAGGUAACGGCUUACCAAGGCGACGAUCAGUAGCCGGCCUGAGAGGGUGAACGGCCACAUUGGGACUGAGACACGGCCCAAACUCCUACGGGAGGCAGCAGUGGGGAAUAUUGCACAAUGGGGGAAACCCUGAUGCAGCGACGCCGCGUGAAGGAAGAAGUAUUUCGGUAUGUAAACUUCUAUCAGCAGGGAAGAAAAUGACGGUACCUGACUAAGAAGCCCCGGCU
rnacentral:rRNA from 1 species